rnacentral:rRNA from 1 species
UACGAAGGGUGCAAGCGUUAAUCGGAAUUACUGGGCGUAAAGCGUGCGUAGGCGGUUUGUUAAGUCUGCUGUGAAAUCCCCGGGCUUAACCUGGGAAUGGCAGUGGAUACUGGCAAGCUAGAGUGUGUCAGAGGAUGGUGGAAUUCCCGGUGUAGCGGUGAAAUGCGUAGAGAUCGGGAGGAACAUCAGUGGCGAAGGCGGCCAUCUGGGACAACACUGACGCUGAGGCACGAAAGCGUGGGGAGCAAACAGG